rnacentral:rRNA from 1 species
GAUAUGGCUCAGGAUGAACGCUAGCUACAGGCUUAACACAUGCAAGUCGAGGGGAAACGACAUCGAAAGCUUGCUUUUGAUGGGCGUCGACCGGCGCACGGGUGAGUAACGCGUAUCCAACCUGCCCAUCACUUGGGAAUAACCUUGCGAAAGUAAGACUAAUGCCCAAUGACAUCCCACGAAGGCAUCCGAAUGGGAUUAAAGAUUUAUCGGUGAUGGAUGGGGAUGCGU